UAUAAUUUUUCCCGAAGUAAACAAAAUGGCUGUUAGAAACCAAAUAAGCGCUAUUGAGCUAGAGGAAUUCUUUCGUUCAUUACAAGAGCUUUUGAUUUCUUCAUUCAACGAUGUGUCUUUUGACUCAGCUGAGUAUAUUUCUCGCCGUCUCGAUGGAUAUGAAAGAAAUCUAAGUGUAUUAUUGGCAAGACUGCAAGAAUCGUUUCCUAAUGAAGCACAAUUGCUAACAGAUAUGAGAGAUCUUCUUGGUAUCGUUCGUACCCAGAAAGAAAGGUCUGAGGUAUUAUCAUUUUGCUCAUUAAUGGCAGAGGAACAGCAAACUAAUGACCAAAUAAGUGUAAACCAGAUUAGGAGUUGCGUUGGUCGACCCAGACUUCACGUUUCUGAAGAAUUGCUGGGGACACUACACUCUCAGGUUGGAUUUUCGUGGUCGCAGAUUGCAAGAGAUCUUGGCAUUUCUGAAAGUACCAUACGUCGCAGAAGACGAUUGUUUCAAAUGCCAAGUCAACAGAUUAAUACAGGGUGCGUUACGACAACGUGGACUGCAUGUCCAACGACGACGAGUUCUUGAAUCGUUGCACCGGGUUGACCCAGUUGUGGUAACCCUUAGAGGAUCAAGAAGCAUCAUACGAAGACGCUAUUCCGUUCCUUGUCCAAAUGCGUUAUGGUAUGUGAAAUAUUCAUUAAGGGAAAACUGGUGGCAUUUGGAUGGGAAUCACAAACUUAUUCAACCGUAUCGUAUUGUAAUUCAUGGUGGCAUAGAUGGGUAUUCUAGAAUGAUUGUCUUCUUAAGAGCAUCAACAAACAACCAAGCAUCUACUGUAAUGGAAUGC